UCAGACAACCGUAAUAGCUCUGUUUCUGUUAUCAGCUGCUUUGGCUAUAAGCUUGAUUAUUAUAGCUUUCCUGAUUCAUAUCAUCAAGACUAAAUCGUAUGAUUCCAGCAAAGCUGCUGAAGUUCUGCAAACACAUCCUGCAGCAGAUCGACGACGCCAGCAGAGCGCUGAGGACUCGUUGGUUUAUUAUGCACCGACUUUUUCUAAGAUUAGAACGGACAAAAGAGAGAAGAGAAAAGUCAAAGCAGUAACAGAAGAGACGAUCUA